UGGGGAAUAUUGGACAAUGGGGGCAACCCUGAUCCAGCCAUGCCGCGUGAGUGAUGAAGGCCUUCGGGUUGUAAAGCUCUUUUGGCGGGGACGAUGAUGACGGUACCCGCAGAAUAAGCCCCGGCUAACUUCGUGCCAGCAGCCGCGGUAAGACGAAGGGGGCUAGCGUUGUUCGGAAUUACUGGGCGUAAAGCGAGUGUAGGCGGUUGCCGUAGUCAGGGUGUGAAAGCCUUGAGCUCAACUCAAGAAAUGCACUUGAUACUGGGUGACUAGAGGACCGGGAGAGGAUAGUGGAAUUCCCAGUGUAGUGGUGAAAUACGUAGAGAUUGGGAAGAACACCAGUGGCGAAGGCGGCUAUCUGGACGGUUACUGACGCUAAGACUCGAAAGCGUGGGGAGCAAACAGGAUUAGAUACCCUGGUAGUCCACGCCGUAAACGAUGGGUGCUAGACGUUGGCNAGCUUGCUCGUCAGUGUCGCAGCUAACGCGUUAAGCACCCCGCCUGGGGAGUACGGCCGCAAGGUUGAAANUCAAAAGGAAUUGACGGGGUCAUAGCUGUUUCCU
rnacentral:rRNA from 1 species